rnacentral:rRNA from 1 species
UACGGAGGAGGCAAGCGUUAUCCGGAAUUACUGGGCGUAAAGGGCGCGUAGGCGGCCACCGCAAGUCGACUGUGAAAUCUCCGGGCUUAACCCGGAAAGGUCAGCCGAUACUGCGGGGCUAGAGUGCAGAAGGGGCAACUGGAAUUCUCGGUGUAGCGGUGAAAUGCGUAGAUAUCGAGAGGAACACCUGCGGCGAAGGCGGGUUGCUGGGCUGACACUGACGCUGAUGCGCGAAAGCUAGGGGAGCGAACGGG